rnacentral:rRNA from 1 species
UACGUAGGGUCCGAGCGUUGUCCGGAAUUAUUGGGCGUAAAGAGCGCGUAGGCGGCUUGUCACGUCGGGUGUGAAAGCCCGGGGCUUAACCCCGGGUCUGCAUUCGAUACGGGCAGGCUAGAGUGUGGUAGGGGAGAUCGGAAUUCCUGGUGUAGCGGUGAAAUGCGCAGAUAUCAGGAGGAACACCGGUGGCGAAGGCGGAUCUCUGGGCCAUUACUGACGCUGAGGAGCGAAAGCGUGGGGAGCGAACAGG